UUGGUACAAAGAGAAGCGAAGCGGUGACGUGGGGCAAACCUCAGAAAAGCCAAUCUCAGUUCGGAUUGUAGGCUGCAACUCGCCCACAUGAAGUUGGAAUCGCUAGUAAUCGCGAAUCAGAAUGUCGCGGUGAAUACGUUCCCGGGUCUUGUACACACCGCCCGUCACACCACGAGAGUUUACAACACCCGAAGUCAGUGGCCUAACCGCAAGGAGGGAGCUGCCUAAGGUGGGGUAGAUGAUUGGGGUGAAGUCGUAACAAGGUACC
rnacentral:rRNA from 1 species